rnacentral:rRNA from 1 species
CCUGCGGAAGGAUCAUUAAAGAGACGUUGCCCUUCGGGGUCGACCUCCCACCCUAUGUUUAUCAUACCUCUGUUGCUUUGGCAGGCCCGUCCUCGGACCGCCGGCUCCGGCCGGCCCGUGCCUGCCAGGGAACCUAAAACUCUGUUUGUUAAUGCAGUCUGAGUACUAUAUAAUAGUUAAAACUUUCAACAACGGAUCUCUUGGUUCUGGCAUCGAUGAAGAACGCAGCGAAAUGCGAUAAGUAAUGUGAAUUGCAGAAUUCAGUGAAUCAUCGAAUCUUUGAACGCACAUUGCGCCCCCUGGUAUUCCGGGGGGCAUGCCUGUUCGAGCGUCAUUACAACCCUCAAGCUCUGCUUGGUAUUGGGCCCCGCCGGUUCCGGCGGGCCCUAAAGUCAGUGGCGGUGCCAUCCGGCUCCGAGCGUAGUAAUUCUUCUCGCUCUGGAGACCCGGCUGUGUGCUUGCCAGCAACCCCCAAUUUUUUAAGGUUGACCUCGGAUCAGGUAGGGAUACCCGCUGAACUUAAGCAUAUCAUAAGCCGGAGGACAUUAAAGAGACGUUGCCCUUCGGGGUCGACCUCCCCCUAUGUUUAUCAUACCUCUGUUGCUUUGGCAGGCCGUCCUCGGACCGCCGGCUCCGGCCGGCCGUGCCUGCCAGGGAACCUAAAACUCUGUUUGUUAAUGCAGUCUGAGUACUAUAUAAUAGUUAAAACUUUCAAC